rfam:Homo sapiens chromosome 15, GRCh38 reference primary assembly.
GCCAGGCAUGGUGGUGCAUGCCUGUAGUCCCAGCUACUUGGGAGGCUGAGGUGGGAGGAUCACUGGAGCCUGGGAGAUCAAGGCUGCAGUGAGCCAUGAACAUGCCACUGCACUCCAGCCUGGGCAACAGAGGAAGACCCCAUCUCAA